rnacentral:piRNA from 1 species
GGCAGGGGUAUGAAGUCAGUUGUUUCGU